rnacentral:lncRNA from 1 species
CGUGCGAGGGAGGCGGUGACAGCCUCAGCGCCGGCUGAGAGUGUCCCGUGAGCCGUGCCCUGAAGGAGAGCUCACAGUGCCGCUGUGUGUGCAGCCCCGAGCCUGCAGCCCUGCAGCCCUGAGCCUUCAGCCCCGAGCCUGCAGCCCUGCAGCCCUGAGCCUUCAGCCCUGCAGCCCUGCAGCCCUGCAGCCCUGCAGCCCUGCAGCCCUGAGCCUGCAGCCCUGCAGGCUUGCAGCCCUGCAGCCCUGAGCCUGCAGCCCUGCAGCCCUGCAGCCCUGCAGCCCUGCAGCCCUGAGCCUGCAGCCCUGAGCCUUCAGCCCUGCAGCCCUGAGCCUUCAGCCCUGCAGCCCUGCAGCCCUGCAGCCCCGAGCCUGCAGCCCUGCAGCCCUGCAGCCCUGCAGCCCUGCAGCCCUGAGCCUGCAGCCCUGCAGCCCUGCAGCCCUGCAGCCCUGAGCCUUCAGCCCCGAGCCUGCAGCCCUGCAGCCCCGAGCCUGCAGCCCUGCAGCCCUGCAGCCCUGCAGCCCUGCAGCCCCGAGCCUGCAGCCCCGCAGCCCUGCAGCCCUGCAGCCCUGCAGCCCCGAGCCUGCAGCCCUGCAGCCCCGCAGCCCCGAGCCUUCAGCCCUGAGCCUGCAGCCCUGCAGCCCUGCAGCCCUGCAGCCCUGCAGCCCUGCAGCCCUGCAGCCGGGUGGGCUGUGUGUCCCUGCCGGGCACCCCGGAUCCUGCUCCCCCUGCCCCGGGAGCCGCCAGCUGCGCUUCCUGCUCUCAUCGGGGGGGAUGUUUUCCCGCAGAGGUGAACGGAGCUCCUCCUGCAUUGAACUGCUCUGGUGCACAUUAGCCUGGGAUUUUUGGGGCAGGCAUUGGGCAGCCUCUGCCGGUGGAGAGUGCAGUGUGGUGGCUGCACCUCCAGCAGCUCCCAGUUCCAAGCCUGCAGCAGCUCUGGCUGCCUGGAGCCUGAAUCCCUGCCCACGAGUUCUCCUGGGCACCCCUGCCUGUUCCUACUGCCCUGCUCCCUGCUCCCAUCACCCUGCUCCCACCACCCCAUUCCCACUGCUCUGCUCCCAUUGCCCUGUUCCCACUGCUCUGAUCCCAUUGCCCUGCUCCCUGUUCCCACUGCCCUGCUCCCAUUGCCCUGUUCCCACUGCCCCAUUCCCACCACCCCAUUCCCACUGCUCUGCUCCCACCACCCCAUUCCCCCUGCUCUGCUCCCACCAGCCCAUUCCCACCACCCCAUUCCCAGUGCCCUGCAGCCAUUGCCCUGUCCCCACUGCCCCAUUCCCACCGUGCUCCCAUUGUCCCAUUCCCCUUGCCCUGCCUCUCCAGCUGCCUGUGGAGGGUGUGCAGCAGUCAGG